GUAGAAAUACAUAUUUUUGAGAAUAUCAUCGCUUUGUGAUAUACUUGUCUCUUAAAAAGCUGACAUUAUGGGCUGUAUUGUACUGCUGGGAGCUGACAAUGGAUGUUUCCUGCAUCUUGUUUAUAGAAGCGAACUUUCUAGGAAACGAGUGCUCCUCUUUAAGCCCCCUUGGGUAAAAUUAACAUUUGCUAUUUUUUACAUCCCUGAGCAAUUGUUCUUUUUCUUUUUUAAGCCGAGAGAGGAUAGAAAACAAUAUAGUACUGGUAAAUGCACAAUGGGGUUCCUGUACACGUGGCAGAAUUCUAGUGAACCAAUCUCAAAGGGAAGCUAGCGCUCCUUAGCCAGAUGCACCGUUUCCAAUUUUCUUACUUGAAUUAAUAUAUUUGAUUAUAUUAUACUGCACUUGUCUUUAUAUAAUAAAUAGAAGCAACUACAAAAGGAAAUGCAUGCAUGUAAAGUAGAAAUGAGUGGUCUCAUAUGGUUAUCUUAGCUCAUGGUGGCUGCCUUUGGAUCUGAUGCAUAUUAAUUUAAUUGUUGAGUUUAAUUAUAUAUGGAAGGCGGUGGUAGGGUAUGG
rnacentral:misc_RNA from 1 species